UAACGUGAAAACUAACUUAUUACAAUAUAACUGAAAAUUUAUAGCAGCCUGGUGAUGGAUCCUUAUCCUCCAUAGCGGAUCCUCUUAUAGGGAGGGGACAAAGUCAUGGCAGGGACUUGGGCUUCAGGGGGAUCCCUUCCUUCUAGUUGAGCUUCCAGGGCUGCAAUCCUUGCGUGUCCAUCCUCCAGCUCCAAAUGUACCCUAGAGAGGUCGAGCGUAGCAUUGUCCAGGUUGGUGUUAAGACCUGCCACACCAACAGGGUGUUGAGGCGAUCUUCUUUGGCUCCGCCUAGAAUAAUGCUGGUCUGGCUUUCUCCACGAAGACGCAAAGGAAGAUGCCUAUACUUUGUGUCGUGCAGCUACUGCCGGUAAGUGUGGCUGAGGGACUACAAAGUUUUCCUAGCAGCAUCGCUGACCGAGGCAGCAUAGGUGGAUAGCGGGUUCAUAGACUCAUGAGCUGAUAGAGUCCUAAACCCUCUAUCACCUACAUCCAUCACCCUAACAUGAAUGUGAGUGAUGUUGUAGCAAGCCCGAGGGGGCUUGUACACUUGCCUAGUCUCAUACAGGGGUCAGAAGUAGGUUCCCAACACAUGCAGAACAUCCUACAGCAGGUUAGGGAAGUGCCCUGUCUCGAACAAUGAUGUAUAAUGUUCGGUGACAGGCCAUAUCCCCACGAAGUGGUCCUGCUGUUCACUGUUGGCUUCCUAGUUGACGUUCUCUUCUUCUUCUUCAUCAUCUUCAUCAUCAUCACUGGAGUCAUCUAGGUCGUAUCCUCCAGGAGCAGGGGCAUGGACUGCUGGUGCUGGCGGUGCUAAAGAUGACGACGUAGCUGUGAAGGCUAGUGAUUCUGCCAAUGGGGUGGGCGUAGGCAGAAACUCUUUCGAGCUGUCCUCCAGAACAACUCUAUUCUCCACACGAAGGGGAGGGAGAUCCAUAGGGAUUUCCUCGACUACCACUAGGUAGACGGGAGCCUGCCGUGGCGGAGGGAUGUAGUUGGUGUUGACUCGUGUGGUUUGGAUUGUACGCACCAUCUACAAGAGAAAAUGUCAUCUUAGUUGAAUUUUUAAGAGGUAAGAUUAAUAAAAUAAUUUUGUAAGAGCAAAAUAAGCAUGUUUUGAAUAGACUAGGCUUUCCAUUUCUGACUAGUCUAACGACCUAGAGUCAGCAUAGCUUUGAUACCACUUCUAUCACACCCGGUUUUGAGGGCAAAAUCGAAUGCAUAGCAUAUGUGUGCCAGAAACCAUUUUCCACACAUAUGUUGACGUCACAAGUUUAUAUAUCAAAAGACAAUGUAAUAAAGGCGUAAAAGGGAGUAUAGUAACUUUAUUACAUCAUCCAAAUCAUAAUAUCUUUAACAAGUAUCAUUAUUAAAGUACGACAGAAUUAAACAGGGACACUCUUCCACAAGAAGGUGACUGGCGCAUCGUUAGACUUAGUACUCGUCGACAUCAUCUGCAAUGUCUUCAUAAUCACCCUCUGAUCAAAAUAUUAGCAAGGGUGUGGCAGAACCUCCCAAGUUAUUGGGCCCACAUGCACCUGCCCUUGUCUCAAAGACCUCAGACAGCUAUGCAUGUGCACUAGAUAACUUAACAGGAUCUGUUCGAGUGCCCCAAGGACCUCGGAUAAACCACUUACAAAUAGGACCGCGAGAUUAAGUAACACAAAUCACACACCAACAUCUUGCAGCGGAAUCUUAUUACAAGGAGUAUACAAGUUACAAAAGAAAUCAGAGUAGUUACAAAAGAAUUUCACUUUGAAAUAUUGCAAAACAUUUUGUAAGCUUUAAAAUAUAUGCUAGCUUAAGGGACCAUCCUCAAUAAGAAGUAUAGAAGAGUUACUUAGACUUAUAAGAAGGCCGAGCCCACAUGCACUUAACACCAUCAAUAGCAGUACAAAAUUAUAACCUGAAAAACAACAGGGAAUAAAACCCUGAGUACGCAAUUACUCAGCAAGACUUACCCGACUAAAGAAAAGACUCUCAAGGAUAUGCUAGCUUGUUGGGAAUCAAGGUUAGGCUUAUCAAUAUUCAAAGACUCUGUUUGCAGAAAAGCUUACUAUGAGUGGAUCCUUAAAAUCCAUUUUUUACUUGUCAAGUUAAGUAAAGUUACCUGCAUCUAUAGUUCUUUCUAUCCUAGUUCAAACACUUGGCCUAUACUAGCCGUCUUUUAUCACCCCUUCAGUUCACUGGAUUGCUACGUGUAAGUCAGUGACCAAGUCUUCAUAUCUGAGAAGUAACGACGAUCCGAAUCGAUUAAUACUCAGCUGAGGAUCUCCAAUCACACGACAUAUGUAGCACUUAACCCUUGCAUAUGUCAACUCUCCACCGGGUUUCUUAAGACCAGACUGGGUUCACACCAACCGAGAGCACAGAUACACCACCGUCCAGCCUCUUGCCACGGAGGGUACACGCUACUCACGCCAUCUCUCCACUCCCAUUGCAUGUUGGCCUUUCUGGUAUUAGUCUGCCUGAGGCAAAGCUUGCCCAUGACGAGGCAUGUGACCAAUUAAAGGGUCCUCAGUCAGCAGUCCCACAUCGACACGGUCCUUAAUCGACUCAGACGGAGACACUACACCGAGACUCCCUUCUCGUGCAAGUCAACCGCCCCGUCUCAACUUUAUUAUUUAAACCCAAAGUUUGGUACCUAGCAGAGGUACAUCCUUUCAGAUGUUGAACCCAUCAUGGCCCUGAUGGAUCCCCCAUCAAGUUUUAUUUUUGAAAACAUUCCCAUCCACUGUGAAGUAUCACCUUUUGUUUUUAAAACAAAACAUUUUAUUUUCUAGAGCAAGGCUAAGCAUCAUAAAAAUCCUUUUCAUAAAAGGGUAUCAAGGAAGGGUAAUCAAUUUUCCAAGGAAGGAAAUACAUCAAUUGUUUAGCACACAACUCCUAUCACCUAAUGCAUCAAACAAGGUGAUAAAGAUUUUAAAACAGCAAGGAGGUGGCAAAUGCACUGGGGCUUGCCUGGAAGAACACUAGGUUAGUGUUUGUUAGGUGACGACCACUUGGCGAUCAGCUUUUGUUCCGAUACUUGUUCAAUUUAUCUAUCUUCAGGUUUGUCCAUUAACAUCCUCUUGCGGAGUAGUCCACCCGUUACGUCAUCUUAGGGUCGACUUGGCUUUGGUUCUCCGCGUCACGUGAUUAAUUAUCGUACCUAAAUGAAAUGCAUUAUGCACAUGAAUGCAUAAUAAGACGAAUGUCACAAGAUAAUAUUAUGAUUUUACACAAUAAAGAAUUAAACAUUUAAUAGUAAGGCAUCAUGACAUUUCAUAGGCAACCAUCAUGGAUCUUCAUCAGAGCAGAGGUCCCCACAAAAACAUAACCUUAACAGUCUAACAUAUUUAUACCAUUUUAGUACAUGGCUUCUCAGAUUUCGAUUGAAAUAGGCUUACCGACGCUACUCGUUUCUAAAUAAUUUUGAGCUACGACCCACAUUUAUCCCUAAAUGUCGACUUAAGUGAUCAACAUUCAUCUAUGAAACCUAGCCGAUUAACAACAUAAUACGACACUAUUAAAGCAAAUCACUACUUCACCACUACUAUUCAAGUAGAAACUAUUGGCUGGCUGAUUAAAAUCCCAAACCUAUUUUACAUGUUAUGAACUAGCCAAAAUAUGGCAUAUAUGUCUAUCAAUAUCUUCAACAUAAUUAACACCCCAAACCUAUGCUUCAUCAUACAAAGACGAUGUGUCAACUCUACAUUUAUGAGCAUCACCACAUACUACCUAUGAUACAUUUUAACAACCAUUUAAUAUAACCACGACCGUAUUUAUCAGCUAUAUGAGCGAGACACUAGACUUAUUAUUCACUUAACCACUCCUCACACAAUAAUCAUUUUAAAAUUGAGUUUCGCGUGACACAACCACUUCAUGCUUAUGUACACAAUCUAUUCAUCAAACCAAUAAUUAAGCUAACAGAAAUAUGAAUCGGCUUACCAUACUAAAUCUGACAAGCUAUCUGCGAAUACGGCAAGGAUUCUGGUUCAGCCCUUGCGUCGAGUACUUGGUGAACAUCACGCUGCUAGCUUCGUCUUCACCCGACUCUUGGGUUUUCUUGAUGACGCACGGAAUGACGACGAGAUCGAGUCUGCAGCGAGCUGGUGAGGUGUGGUCGAGCAGGUUAGCGCGAGCUCUUACGAGGACACGAAUCCAGUGAGGACUCCGACGACGGCGAGGUCACGAGCUCUAGCGACACAGCGACACAGGGUCAAGCGGUGAAUGCGUUCGGUGUGCAUACGUGAGCCGAACCGAAGGCGGGGAACCUAUGAAGCGAAGUUCAUCGACAAGCACCAUGGAGGAAUCAGCGACGUUGUUGCACACAUGACGCGACGACGAACGACGACAACCCACGACGGUGCCACGCAUAUGACAUCAACACACUGAGUAGCGGUUGUGCUUUCGUGGCGAGGAGACUGGAGUCAGGGCUAGACGUCGGCGUCAUGGUGAGCUAAUCGAAGGUGAAAUGCCCGGCCAUCAGCGAGCUAUGCGAUGACUAAAACAUCAACAAACGCACAACAACACGAGAAGAUGUGAUAACCAAGGCGAGGUCGCAGCCAGGGCGCCAUGGGAGACCAAGGAGAGGCGGCCGAGCGAAGGGCGAGCAGGAAUGGCGCGCGGCUACCAUGGCCGAGGGAGAAAAUCCGAGCGCAGGGGCGAGCUCGGGGAGCAGGAGCAGGGGGUGCUCCACGGAGGGGAAGCAGGAGCUCGGCCGGCUGGGAGGAGCAAGGGACGCGCAAGCAGAGGGAGCUCAGCCGCUAUAGAAGCAGGGGAGGAGAACGCCUAGCAGGGAGCAAGCCAGGCGCGCGACGCAGGGGGAACCGAGUAGGGCGCGGCUGGGGAAGAGGCUCAAGGAGAGGGACGAUGGACGGAGGUGGAAGACAGAGGCUGGGCGGUGGGAUUUUUCCACGAGCUUGAGUGGCGCAGGGGAUAAGAAGAAGCAGCGCGCGUAGAUAAAAGGUCAGGGGAGGCGGCUGUAGAGAAAAAUCAGGCAGAGGGGCGGCAGGAUAAGGCCAGGCGGCCGGAAAAAAAUCUGGAGGGCGACGUGGAGAUUUUCCUCUUUUUUAAUUUCUUCUUCCUUUAAGAAAGAAUUGCAGAUAUUUUGGAUCACGAUUUUUAGCGAUAAUCAAAGGGUCAAUAAUUAGGAUCGACAACAAUAAUGGGACAUGAUUUGAUUUGGCGAAUACUCUGAAGUGGGAUGAAUUCGUACCGUUAAUUAACUUUUUGAAGAUUUAGAUCGAGGCGAGAAGCAACGAACCGAAUUAAACGGAUUUCGGCUUCGGUAUUUUAAUCUACAUUUGAUUCAGUUGACUUUAGACGAAUUCCAUUCGCUACUCGAACACUCGACUAGAGAAAAAAUUCAAUUAAAAAUCUGUAGACGCGAUGUGACGGAUGACAAAAGGGGACUAAAUUAUUUUACACCGAAAACUUAGUCGUCGAGUUCUACUUAAUCUGUUUGAGAUGAAAUCGGAGGGCUGGACUGAAUUUCCAAAUUUGUAUUUACGCGAACGAUGAAUUUUAAAUAAUCACCAGACGCACCGAUUUUCGGAACAACUAUGUUCCGAACAUCACGAAAAUUUAGGAAGAGCUCGGAUAGAUAAAAAUAAAAACGAUGUCGAACUCACGACAGAUGAAACAGAUUAAGACAGAGAGACUGUUAUUCUUAUUAAUAUUUCCGUACUUGUGUCCAUAUUCGUUGUUUACAUACAGUAACACCUGGGGUGUUACAACCCUUCCCCCUUAAAAGAAUCUCGUCCCGAGAUUCAGAACGAAAGACUUCUAAGAGUAGAGAAGCAUGUAACCCUUGUCCAUAUCAGCGAUAAUCAUAAGGCAGUCCCAAGCAAAGGCGAGUGUCUCAGAAUAGGGUUUCUGUAGUGGACAUAACAUGUAUCGCUUUAAGCUGAUUUAGAAAUGUCCACCAAUAGAGACGAUGUCUGCCAGAGGAACACAUAAGGUUCCAUUUGUGCAAUUUGCUUUUUCUGAUGACACUGUACUAUUUGAGUUUGUUGAGCGAGUGACAAAUACAUGAUCUUACCCAAGCAGAAUCAGAUGCACCAUCUUGGGUAAAACACACAGAAAGAGGUUUACCAACAAGUAGUCACAGUAAGUUCAUAGCACACGAGACGAGUGUGAAUGUCGAAUAACAUCAAACUUAACUCGUGUUAGCCAGAAAAUCCAAGUCCAAGAAAAAUGAUAGAGACUCAAAAAAUCACCAGCGAAGGGAUCUAUAGAUGCAGACUUUGCAACUAGUCCAUUUUAUCCAACACUAAUCAUGGCUCGACUUGAUCACACAUGCUAGAAAAGCACACGUGAGGCGAUCGAGGCAUGACUAGAGCGAUAAUUAGGUGGUGAUCAGUCGACUUAAUCUCGAUUCUUAUAAAUACAUCCUUUAGGGUGGGUUGAACUAAAGUGAGUUCAGACAACUCAAUAAAAACGAUCUCUAAACUCAACCUUUGUUCAUUGGGCAGUUACAAGUUAGUAAAAACCAACUUAUUGAAUUACAUAUGACAUGGAGUAGGUAUUCUUAUUAUCCAUCGGCAAUCCAAUGGUUGAGAGUUCACUCUUGUUAACAGUUGAUCAUGUAUUUGGGUAGAAAUCCAUUUGGUCAGGUUGUUCAUCCGUUUCUUCAAGCGAGAUGAACUAUCCAAUUGGUUAGGGAAUACAUGGCUUAAAUAAGAGAGCAAAUGAACAAACUCCUGCAAUCUCAGCAGCAGGGGAAAUAGAUCUCCAUUUUGAGAGCUAAUCAGUUGUUUUCCAACACUAAAAAGCUCCAAGGCUUCACCUUUACAACAAGGAUGCAAAGGGAACUUGUAUGUGUGAAGUCACCAUCAAAGUCAAGGAAAAGAGACCACACAUGAAAGGGGUAUGCCCUUUUGAUCCAACAGAGAUGAUAGAUGUUGCUUGAUCACUUAACAAACAACAUAGAAAUUGUUUCAAGGGAAAUGUUUACGGAAGAUCACACAGCAGUGUAGUUCCAUAAUGGAUCAUGACCAGAGACCUUGAUACCAGCAUCUGACGAGUAGCACAGUCCUGUGUGCACAUUCACAAGAGGCUCUUAGUUUCGCUGCGGCACCAUAAGUCAUUAACCAUGACACCAUCACCGAACUGGCACCAAUAAUGAAUCUCACGUGAAAGAACAAUUUGUGCAGAGAUAACAUAUCGAUAUAAUCUCAUAAUGGAUUAUGACUGCUAAAGGUGAUACCAACGCGUGCCAAGUAGCGCAACCAUGUGUUGAUCACCGACAGGAGGCCCUCGGUUUCGUCGUGGCACCAUCGGUUUUAGUCACAACACCAUUACCAGACGUAACCAAUAAGAAAUCUCACACGGCAAAAAUGGAUUGAGCAAGGGUGACAAUAUACAAAGAGAUACUCCACCUAUAAAAAUGGUUACAAGUAGAGAGCCAAAUAGAUCAUGGCCCGAUGAAAUGAACAAGACAUGGCCGUAACCUAAACUUGUUAAUGAAGGGAGUACGAUAGGAAACUGUUAAUUCAGCCCCAAGCAUAUUUUAUGCCCAUCGCAGAAAUUACAAGGUCAAGGAUUAGUAUCUGAUUAGAUACGGAAGGAAAACAGUCAUAAGAUCGAGUUGGUAUGCCUUUGAUAGAUAUGAGGAAACCAAAGGCAUCAAGUUAAAGAAGAUUAUCAGGUAGGACUUUCCUAGGUUGGGUUGAUAAAGCAACAUGGUGAUCCUUAAGAACAGGCAAGCUGGAUAAGGGACAUCAGCUUGUGCCAAUCGAACAAGGGCAUGGUCUAAGAUGGAAAUAUGACAACUAAAACGUCACAGAUUAAAUAGCGAGAACAUGGAGUCAAGAUCCUAGCUUUAAGCUCAUGCACAUCUUGCAUUGGAUAAAGAAAUUUAUCCAAACAUCCAUUUGCAUGAGUUUGGUCAUGGAGAGAUAACGGAAAAUUCAAAUUUGGGUCAUGGUUCACUAAAUAAGAACAUGACCUAGUUUUGGGUUUAGGCGAAUAAGUCACUGACCUUCUAUCGACACAUCAAUCACAAGAGCAAACACAUAUAACACCUAAAUAGAUUACCUAAGGAACGGAGGGCAACUAUUUCAUUGAAGUUCAUAAUACAACAUUACACCACAUUAUCUACCAUCAUUGGUUACUGGAAUAAAGAUGAGAGAAGCAUUUUGGAUGUAUAGGUGACAAACACGAUGCAACAAUCAGGAUGCAUGCUCGUCCUAAGCGUCCUCACAAGUUUUGCCAACAUAUGUGGCAAUAACGUUCUAUUUCGGUGGCAUACUUACGACUCUCUCGGUAUUUUGCUAGUCGUCAACUACACAUACGUUUUCGAGGUUAGUGUACCUACAGAAGAUUCCAUCACAGCCCAAUUGCCCAUAAUGCAAAAUCCACACAUGACAGUUUAUCAUAGUUUAUACUCCAUAUAUUGCUAUAUGGAGGCCAACUCUUCAUUAAGCACCGAGCCACGCAUAGGAGCUGUUGACACACUUUAACCAUAGGGCAACUCAUUAUGGUAACUCAUCUUCUUACCUGAGCGUAGGUGCAUCGUUGCAAAUACAUUACACUUCUCAGUAUUCCCAUGUCUGUAUACCCAUACAAUCCAUGGGGUACUGAAUUCUAGAAAAGUAAUUGCUCCACAUCACAGCCUUCAUAUAUACAUAUGUAGAACAUGUAUAUAGUCAAGCGCUUUUUACACUCUUCCCUAGACCGACGGUUGUUCGGUCAUGCUCUCACAUCUCACCUUACCUUGAGCGUCGAUCCAUUCAAAAUUGAAUGGCCUCAAAAAUAACAAUACACAUGUAUGCAAUACCCCCGGUUGUGGGUUAGUGGUUUUUAAAUAAUACAUUUGAUAGUCCUUAGUUUAGGGCUUAACAGAGGAUGUCGCUAGCAUCAUAGUAUUUUUUCAAAUCUGUUUUUUUAAAGCCAAACAAUGUGUUUAGUUGAAAACAGGUUAUAUAAAACCAAAACUUUGUUUUUAAAAUACGUAUGUGACUGUAUAAACUUAAUCUUGCUCCGACACCAGUCUGUGGCAGAACCCCCCAAGUUAUUGGACCCACAUGCAACUGCCUUGUCUCAAAGAUCUCAGACGGCUAUGCAUGUGCACCAGAUAACUUAACAGGAUCUGUCCGAGUGCCCCAAGGACCUCGGAUAAACCACUUACAACCAGGACCGUGAGAUUAAGUAACACAAAUCACACACCAACAUCUUGCAACGGAAUCUUAUUACAAGGAGUAUACAAGUUACAAAAGAAAUCAGAGUAGUUACAAAAGAAUUUCACUUUGAAAUAUUGCAAAACUUUUUGUAAGUUUAAAAUAUAUGCUAGCUUAAGGGACCAUCCUCAAUAAGAAGUAUAGAAGAGUUACUUAGACUUAUAAGAAGGCCGAGCCCACCGACACUUGACACCAUCAACACAGCACAAAAUAAUAACCUGAAAAACAACAGGGAAUAAAACCCUGAGUACGCAAUUACUCAGCAAGACUUACCCGACUAAAUAAAAGACUCUCAAGGAUAUGCUGGCUUGUUGGGAAUCAAGGUUAGGCUUAUCAAGAUUCAAAGAUUCUGUUUGCAAAAAAGCUUACUAUGAGUGGAUCCUUAAAAUCCAUUUUUUACUAGUCAAGUUAAGUAAAGUUACCUACAUCUACAGUUCUUUCUAUCCUAGUUCAAGCACUUGGCCUAUACUAGUCGUCUUUUAUCACCCCUUCAGUUCACUAGAUUGCCACGUGUAAGUCAGUGACCAAGUCUUCAUAUCCGAGAAGUAACGGUGAUCCGAAUCGAUUAAUACUCAGCUGAGGAUCUCCAAUCACACGACAUAUGUAGCACUUAACCCUUGCAUAUGUCAACUCGCCACCGGGUUUCUUAAGACCAGACCGGGUUCAUGCUAACCGAGAGCAUAGAUACAUCACCGUCCAGCCUCUUUCCAUGGAGGGUACACGCUACUCUCGCCAUCUCUCCACUCCCAUUGUGUGUUAGCCUUUCUGGUAUUAGUCUGCCCGAGGCAAGGCUUGCCCAUGACGAGGCAUGUGACCAGUUAAAGGGUCCUCGGUCAGCAGGCCCACAUCGACACGGUCCUUAAUCGAAUCAGACGGAGACACUACACCGAGACUCCCCUCUCAUGCAAGUCAACCACCCGGUCUCAGCUUUAUUAUUUAAACCCAAAGUUUAGUACCUGGCAGAGGUACAUCCUUUCAGAUGUUGAACCCUUCAUGGCCCUGAUGGAUCCCCCAUCAAGUUUUAUUUUUGAAAACAUUCCCAUCCAGUGUGAAGUAUCACCUUUUGUUUUUAAAACAAAACAUUUUGUUUUUCUAGAGCAAGGCUAAGCAUCAUAAAAAUCCUUUUCAUAAAAGGGUAUCAAGGAAGGGUAAUCAAUUUUCCAAGGAAGGAAAUGCAUCAAUUGUUUAGCACACAACUCCUAUCACCUAAUGCAUCAAACAAGGUGAUAAAGAUUUUAAAACAACAAGGAGGUGGCAAAUGCACUGGGGCUUGCCUGGAAGAACACUAGGUUAGUGUUUGUUAGGUGAUGACCACUUGGCGAUCAGCUUUUGUUCCGAUACUUGUUCAGUUUAUCUAUAUUCAGGUUCGUCCAUUAACAUCGUCUUGCGGAGUAGUCCACCCAUUAUGUCAUCUUGGGGUCGACUUGGCUUUGGUUCUCCGCAUCACGUGAUUAAUUAUCGUACCUAAAUGAAAUGUAUUAUGCACAUGAAUGCAUAACAAGACGAAUGUCGCAAGAUAAUAUUACGAUUUUACACAAUAAAGAAUUAAACAUUUAAUGGUAAGGCAUCACGACAUUUCAUAGGCAACUAGCAUGGAUCUUACUUAAUCAAAGCAGAGGUCCCCACAAGACAUAACCUUAACAGUCUAACGUAUUUAUACAAUUUUAGUACAUGGCUUCUCAGAUUUUGAUUGAAAUCGGCUUACCGACGCUACUCGUUUCCAAAUAAUUUUGAGAUACGACCCACAUUUAUCCCAGAAUGUCGACUUAAGUGAUCAACAUUUUUCUAUGACACUGAGCCGAUUAACAACAUAAUACGGUACUAUUAAAGCAAACACUACUUCACCACUACUAUUCAAGUAGAAACUAUUGGCUGGCUGAUUAAAAUCCAAACCUAUUUUACAAGUUAUGAACUAGCCAAAAUAUGGCAUAUGUGUCUAUCAAUAUCUUCAACAUAAUUAACACCCCAAACCUAUGCUUCAUCAUACAAAGACGAUGUGUCAACUCUACAUUUAUGAGCAUCACCACAUACUACCUGUGAUACAUUUUAACAACCAUUUAAUAUAACCACGAAUGCAUUUAUCAGCUAUAUGAGCGAGACACUAGACUUAUUAUUCACUUAACCACUCCUCACACAAUAAUCAUUUUAAACUUGAAUUUCGUGUGACACGACCACUUCAUACUUAUGUAUACAAUUUAUUCAUCAAACCAAUAAUUAAGCUAACAGAAAUAUGAAUCGGCUUACUAUACUAAAUCUGACGCUCUAUCCGUGAAUACGACAAGGAUUCUAGUUCAGCCCUUGCGUCGAGUACUUGGUGAACAUCAUGCUGCUAGCUUCGUCUUCACCUGACUCUUGGGUUUUCUUGAUGACACACAGAACGACGACGAGAUCGAGUCUGGAGCGAGCUGGCGAGGUGUAGUCGAGCAGGUUAGCGCGAGCUCUGGCGAGGACACGAAUCUAGUGAGGACUCUAACGAUGUUGAGGUCACGAGCUCUAGUGACAUAGGGUCAAGCGGCGAACGCGUUCGGCGUGCAUACGUGAGCCGAACCGAAGGCGAGAAACUGAUGAAGCGAAGUUCGUCGACAAGCACCAUGGAGGAACAGCGACGUUGUUGCACACACGACAUGACGAUGAACGAGGACAACCCACGAUGACGCCACACAUACGACAUCAACACAAUAAGUAGUGGUUGUGCUUUCGUGGCGAGGAGACUGGAGCCAGGGCUAGAUGUUGGCGUCAUGGUGAGCUAAUCGAAGGCGAACAGCCUGGCCAUCAGCGAGCUGGGCGAUGACUAAAACAUCGACAAACGCACAGCAGCACGAGAAGAUGUGAUAGCCAUGGCGAGGUCGCGGCCAGGGAAAUGCGCGCCAUGGGAGACUAGGGAGAGGCGGCCGAGCGAAGGGCGAGCAGGAAGGGCGCGUGGCCACCAUGGCCGAGGGAGAAAAUCCGAGCGCAGGGGCGAGCUCGGGGAGUAGGAGCAGGGGCGUGCUCCACGGAGGGGAAGCAGGAGCUCGGCCGGCUGGGAGGAGCAAGGGACGCGCUAGCAGAGGGAGCUCAGCCGCCAUAGAAGCAGGGGAGGAGAACGCCGAGCAGGGAGCAAGCCAGGCGUGUGACGCAGGGGGAACCGAGCAUGGCGCGGCUGGGGAAGAGGCUCAGGGAGAGGGACGACGGACGGAGGUGGAAGACAGAGGCUGGGCGGUGGGAUUUUUCCACGAGCUUGAGCGGCGUAGGGGAUAAGAAGAAGCAGCAUGCGUAGAUAAAAGAUCAGGG
rnacentral:lncRNA from 1 species